CCCUUAGAUGUCCGGGGCUGCACGCGCGCUACACUGAAGGAAUCAGCGUGCUAAAACCAUUGUCGAAAGGCAUUGGUAAACCCAUUAAAAUCCUACGUGAUUGGGAUCGGGAAUUGCAAUUAUUUCCCUUGAACGAGGAAUUCCCAGUAAGUGUGGGUCAUAAGCUCGCGUUGAUUACGUCCCUGCCCUUUGUACACACCGCCCGUCGCUGCCCGGGACUGAGCCGUUUCGAGAAAAGCGGGGACUGCUGCUGUCGGGGCUUUCGGGCCUUGGCUUCGGUGGGAACCGCUUUAAUCGCAGUGGCUUGAACCGGGCAAAAGUCGUAACA
rnacentral:rRNA from 1 species